rnacentral:rRNA from 1 species
UCCGUUCUCAUCCUCGUGGUGAGAAUCAGUUGACUGUCAUACUUCCAAGAAAAGCUCGAACUACUGUACACAAUAAAGUACCUGUACCGUAAACCGGCACAGGUGGGUUAGUAGAGUAUACUAAGGGGCGCGAGAUAACUCUCUCUAAGGAACUCGGCAAAAUGACCCCGUAACUUCGGGAGAAGGGGUGCCAAGUAUGAAAAUUGCUUGGUCGCAGUGACCAGGCCCUGGCGACUGUUUAUCAAAAACACAGGUCUCCGCAAAGUCGUAAGACAACAUAUGGGGGCUGACGCCUGCCCAGUGCCGGAAGGUUAAAGAAGUUGGUUAUUCAUUCGUGGAGAAGCUGACGACUGAAGCCCCGGUGAACGGCGGCCGUAACUAUAACGGUCCUAAGGUAGCGAAAUUCCCUGUCGGGUAAGUUCCGACCCGCACGAAAGGCGUAACGAUCAGGGCACUGUCUCGGAGAGAGACUCGGUGAAAUAGACAUGUCUGUGAAGAUGCGGACUACCUGCACCUGGACAGAGAGACCCUAUGAAGCUUGACUGUAGCUUGGAAUUGGGUUCGGGCUCUUCUUGCGCAGCCUAGGUGGGAGGCGUUGAAGGUUUUCUUUUGGGAAAGCUGGAGCCAACAGUGAGAGACCACUCUGGAGGAGCUAGAAUUCUAAUGGCGUUCCUUGAAGCAGGACGCUUGACAGUUUCAGGUGGGCAGUUUGACUGGGGCGGUCACCUCCUAAAAGGUAACGGAGGUGUGCAAAGGUUCCCUCAGGCUGGACGGAAAUCAGCCAGAGAGUGUAAAGGCAGAAGGGAGCUUGACUGCAAGACCUACAAGUCGAGCAGGGGCGAAAGCCGGCCUUAGUGAUCCGACGGUUCCGUGUGGAAGGGCCGUCGCUCAACGGAUAAAAGUUACUCUAAGGAUAACAGGCUGAUCUUCCCCAAGAGUUCACAUCGACGGGAAGGUUUGGCACCUCGAUGUCGGCUCAUCGCAACCUGGGGCGGUAGUACGUCCCAAGGGUUGGGCUGUUCGCCCAUGAAAGCGGUACGUGAGCUGGGUUCAGAACGUCGUGAGACAGUUCGGUCCAUAUCCGGUGUAGGCGUUAGAGCAUUGAGAGGAGCCUUCCAUAGUACGAGAGGACCUGGAAGGACGCACCUCUGGUAUACCAGUUAUCAUGCCAAUGGUAAACGCUGGGUAGCCAUGUGUGGAGUGGAUAACCGCUGAAAGCAUCUAAGUGGGAAGCCCACCUCAAGAUGAGUGCUCUCCAUUAGGCCACGGGAAGACAAUCCGUUUGAUAGGCAGAAGGUGUAAGGCCAGUAAUGGUUUCAGCUGAUCUGUACUAAUAGGCCGAAUGAUUUU